GUUGUUUAUCUAUUUUAUUGUACAUGCAUUCAUAUAUUUAUGAUUGGGCAUAGUAGCGUAGCCUUACUCCUGUCAUUUACCGCUUUCCUUAUCUAUCUAUCUAUCGAUUAUCUACUUUUGCCCGCUUUGGACCUAGUGGGGAGAUCGGCGGAGUCGGCGGCCGAACCCACUGGGAACUAAGGAAGUUAGUUCUCACCCCCCAUUUUACUACAGGUUCCAGUUCGGGUGCUCCCGGUGAGCGUGAGGAUCGUGGUAAGGGCCCGGCGCUCUAGUCGCAUUAGCUACCUCCCUUUUGCAUUAGCUGUCACCCUUUUUGUAUUUGAGAGUAGAUGUUGUAUAGGGUGAGGUUUGAGUGCUUGUACUUAUAUUUUUGGAAGAAUGUACAAGACGUACUUAAACGUAGUAAAUCAAAUGAAUGUAAUGGAUAGCCCCUUCUCUCUUAUGUACUUGUAUUCGUUUCUAUACUUGUAUCUUGCUCUUGAUUGUUGCACUGGUGGUGCUUCUUGAUCGUGUAUUUAUGAAUUGAUUCCUGGGUAAAUUCUUAUACAUGAUCUGUUGGUUAGCCUUGGACGGACAGGGGAGGUCCUGUCCGUUCGGCGUCUGUUCGACGCGCCCGGGGCCGGACCAAAUUGGUAGCGGUCUCAGGGCAUGACAAUUACGCCACGAUCAAUUGUAAGAAUAAAUCGAUCACCUUUUGGGAGCCAAGACAGAAGGAGUUCCUUUAUCGAGCCUGUCGGAGCUCUUGCUUCGUCGCGACGAUAUCGGCGACGAGAGCUAGAAAGUUGGUCAACGGCGGCUGCGUAGCAUUUUUGGCGAUCGUCGUGGAAGUGGACCGAGUGACUCCGAAUUUAGAAGAGUUAUCUGUGGUGCGGGAGUUUCCAAAUGUAUUUCCUACGGAGUUACCGGGGAUGCCGCCGGAUCGGGAGAUCGAGUUCGUUAUAGACUUGAUUCCCGGGAUGGCACCGAUCUCAAGGGCCCCAUACCGUAUGGUACCAGCAGAGCUAAGGGAAUUGAGCAGAGCUAAGGGAAUUGAGGGAUCAGUUGCAGGAUCUUCUCGACAAGGGGUUCAUCAGGCCGAGCGUAUCGCCGUGGGGAGCCCCGGUAUUGUUCGUGCGCAAGAAGGAUGGCUCGUUUCGACUCUGCGUGGACUAUCGAGAGUUGAAUAGGGCCACGAUAAAGAAUAAGUACCCGUUGCCCUGAAUCGAUGACUUAUUUGACCAAUUACAAGGGUCACGAGUGUACUCGAAGAUAGACUUGCAAUCCGGCUAUCAUCAGUUGAAGAUCAAGUCGGAAGAUGUCCAGAAGACCGCAUUCCGCAUGCGCUAUAGACACUAUGAGUACACGGUUAUGCCUUUUAGGCUCACUAAUGCCCCGACGGCGUUCAUGGAUUUAAUGAACCGUGUGUUCAAAGCGUGCUUGGACCGAUUUGUCGUGGUCUUCAUAGACGACAUCUUGGUCUAUUCGCGGAACGAUGAGGAGCACGCGGAGCAUUUGCGGAUAGUGCUUCAAAUCCUUCAGGAGGAGAAGCUAUUCGCAAAGCUAAAGAAAUAUGACUUCUGGCUUCGAGAGGUUGCCUUCUUAGGGCAUGUGAUUUUCGAGGGCGGUGUUUCAGUUGGCCCGAGGAAAGUCGAAGCGGUCGAGAAUUGGCCACGCCCGACGAACGUCACGGAGGUCCGAAGCUUUGUGGGCUUAGCGGGCUAUUAUCGACGGUUUGUGGAGAACUUUUCAAUGAUUGUGACUCCACUUACCAGUCUGACACAGAAGGGCGUCAAGUUUAUUUGGAGCGACGAGUGUGACCAAAGCUUCAACGAGUUGAAGAAAAGAUUGACGUCGGCUCCGAUACUUGCCUUACCGGUGCAGGGCGAGGACUUUGUGGUCUAUAGUGAUGCAUCCUAUCUGGGUUUGGGGUGUAUCCUGAUGCAAGGCGGGAGAGUGAUAGCUUAUGCAUCCCGUUAGCUGAAGGACCACGAGAAGAAUUAUCCCAUUCACGACUUGGAGUUGGCGGCAGUGUUCUUUGCGCUGAAGUUAUGGAGGCACUACCUAUAUGGUGCGCACUGCGAGAUCUACACUGACCACAAAAGUUUGAAGUAUUUGUUUACCCAAAAGGAGUUAAACAUGCGGCAGAGGCGGUGGCUAGAGCUAUUAAAGGAUUACGAUGUUGACAUUCUCAACCACCCCGGCAAAGCAAAUGUGGUCGCGGACGCACUUAGCAGGAAGUCGGCGAAGAAUCUCGCUUUUGAUGUUACCCAGCAAACACCCCUGUGGCUGGAUAUGGAGCGAUUGGACCUUGAAGUAGUCGCUCCCGAGGUCCCGACUCAGUUGAUGGCGCUCGUUGUUCAACCGACCUUAUUGGAGAGGAUUAAGAAAUUGCAACCUGCAGAUCCGAGUCUCCAAAAGGUGCGGCGCAACAUCGAGGAAGGUCGAGGUGGCGAUUUUAGUGUGACGCCGGUGGCGCACUUCGGUUUCGAAACCGGUGGUGCGUGCCCGAAAGUGAAGAGCUUUGCGAGUUGAUUUUGCAAGAAGCCCACCGGUCUCCAUACGCGGAUCACCCAUAUUGUGGUCGGUGUAGAUCUCGCAGUGCGUACCAUAUAGGUAGUGCCUCCACAACUUCAGCGCAAAGAUCACCGCCGCCAACUCCAAGUCGUGAAUGGGGUAAUUCUUCUCGUGGUCCUUCAGCUGACGGGAUGCAUAAGCUAUCACUCUCCCGCCUUGCAUCAGGACACACCCCAAACCCAGAUAGGAUGUGUCACGCCUCGCCCCGAGACCGCUACCAAUUUGGUCCGAUUCGGGCGCGCCGGACGGACGCCGGACGGACGCCGAACGGACAGCACCUCCCCUAUCCGCCCAAGGCUCAACACAGGAUCAUGUACAAAGAAUUUGCCCAGGGAUAAUUCAAUACAUACAUGAUCCAACAAGGAGAGAAGCACAAAGAGUACAAUACAACAAGAGCAAGUAACACAAGUAUACAUACAAGUGCAUAAAGAGAGAUACAUCUAGCUAUUACAUCACAUUCCACUUUUACGUCUUUGAUUACAUUUAAGCUUCCAAAAUGAAUACAUAAUCAUCUCAUAUAUAUAUAUAAUGCUAGCUAUCCAAAAUACAUCAUGUCAUCUAUAACCAUGCACACGAGGGUGCUCUAGUACAAUAAGAAAGCUCUACUAGCUAGCUAGGGCGCUACGCCCUUAUCGCGAUCACCUGCCGGUCCGCUCUCGUGUGUACCUAUACCCCAAAACCACACGGGGUGAGAACUAUAUAAAUAUAGUUCCCAGUGGGUUCGGCCGCCGACUCCGCCGAUCUUCCCACUAGGUCUAAGCUGGCACAAAUAGAUAGAUAGAGAGAUAGAUAGAUAUUGAACUGCAACUAUAAUCUAUUGUGCCAUCAAAUGCAUGCAAUGUAUGGAAUAUCAUCUAGCAACAAGCCUACUAUCAUGCUAGUAUGCUUCAACGAUGUAAUGAAUACAAAUACAACAUAGUUAUGUAAUCCACUAUCAUAUACUAUGUUUAACCAUGGGAUGAAUAGAAAUCCACUUAUGCAAUUUAUGUCAUUACCCCAUCCACUAGGCUACCCAGCCUGAGAUCUCAAAUCUCAUAGGUACUCACACUACAAUCUAGUAGGUGAAGAGGUGAAGAGCUACCCCGCUCUUCGCCCUGACUGAUAUCUCAAAUCUCACAGGUGAGGAGCUACCCCGCUCUUAUCUCACCCGUCUCACAUCUCAAAGGUCAUAGGUGAAGAGCUACCCCGCUCUAAUCUCAUAGGUAAUGAGCUACCCCGCUCAAUUCUCAUAAGUAAUGAGCUAACUCUAUCAAGUAUACAUGCAACUCUACUACGCUCAACAAGCUUAACAUGCUCAAUAUGCCCAAUAUGCUCAACUUGCAUAAUCCUCUUGAGUUUAUUACCCAAAUCAUCUGGCUGGCCUAUAGGCGCGCCCUCGACUCACAACUCAAAUCUGUCUAUGAAGGGGGACUUGAACCACCCGAGGGAUUGUCAGCGGGACCCCACAUAGGCUAUCCCUUGGGACCUCACAUAGGCUAUCCCAAUCGUUUCACGUGCCAAGACUUCGGAGCUCGCACUACUUGUGCGGAGCGACCGCCACAAGCGCUGAAGAGCAAAUCCGUCUAUGAAGGGGGACUCGAACCACCCGAGGGAGUGUCUGCGGGACCCCACAUAGGCUAUCCCUUGGGACCCCACAUAGGCUAUCCCAAUCGUUUCACGUGCCAAGACUCUGGAGCUCACACUACUUGUGCAGAGCGACCGCCACAAGCGCUGAACAGACUGUGUGAGUAUAAUCAAAUUCGUUUCCAACAAAGGUACCCGGUCACUACGACCAACAUGCACAAGUGUUCUUUUAACACUACGUUCUAAUGCCACUCGUCAAAUUGUUUACUUGGUUCACAUGUCACUUGCCAUAAUGCAAUUGUCCCGACUAUACUAGUCAUAUAUCCUCUAUGCAAGAUCAAGUUAUUGUUUAACUUAUCUCUAUAGGGUUCUAUGUCACAAACUCAUUCUCAUGCACCCUAAGUUCACAUGCCAAGCCUACUAUGCCGCAAUACAAGGGAGCAUGCAAGAAUAGUAAAAGUAACAUCUAAAUACCCUAACAUGCAUGAUACUAUAUAUGUAGUAUGUUCAACAUAGAAAUACUUAGACAUAGGGAGAAGCCCAGUUGCUUCGGGAUGACACCCCCCACCUUUUAUCGCUAUCACGAGGCUAGGAUUCCGAUUUCGUGAUUUUUGGAAGCUUUCGCCGCAAGUUGCGGCAAUCUGUACCCUAACAGCUUCGUUCUUUAAUAUCUUCGUGUACGCUCGUCGUAUCGCCGAACCGACUUCGCCAACGCGUCAGAAAACCUAGCAAUUAGGUUUAUACAUGAUCAAUUUAGAUCAAACCCUCACGUAUUGCAAAAUCCCAUUUUUGAGCCCUAACAUGCAAUUAGCCCCAAAUAAUCCAAAUUAAAUGGAGCAACAUGCUAAGAAUGCUCAUUAGAGGCUACUAGAAUACUUAAGGUUAAAGAUUAAGCCAAAUCCCAAAAGUUUACCCCAAUGUGAACGCCGCAAUGAAAACACGUCGCUCCAACGGGCGCACGAAAGCUCAAUCCGUUGCCUCCAACGCGUUCGCAAGCUCGAUCUCCACCAACGCCGCGAAUUUGGGCGAAAGAUCUAGAGAGAUGAGAGAGAUAUUUAGAGAGAGAAAGUGAGGAUUUCUCUCACUACCACCAUGAACGUGUGCUUGUGGGGGUGGUGCUCGGCUGUGAAGAAGAAGCCAAGUCACUAGAAGCUUCUACUUAUAGUCAACACCCCAAUAGUAGCAUACACUAUUCACUUCAGGCAGUUCGAAAUCUGAUAUCUUUCGCCGGAGCCCUCUGAAUAUCCGUUUGAGCUCAAAUUUGACAGUCAUGUUCGGUUUUGCUUAACUUAACGAAAGAAAUUUUAAUCUUUCAGUUUCGACCCCGUUUGGUCACCGAAGGUCGUACCGAACUGUAAUCUUUAUCAGAUCACUAUUGGAUUUUAUUUUCCACCUUCCGGGUGUCAAAAUGAUAUGAAACUUUAAAUCUAGCCUCAUAAAAAUAAUUCUGGCUUAUCCUCCAGUUUUCAGAAUUUUCAGACACUGUGCAUUUUCUAUUAAUUUAUCUGCCCUGUUUCACACAGAAAAUUCUAAAUCUUCUGUUUUCGCUCCGAUUUCAGCACAGGUCAUUCUCAACCUAUAUUUCACUUUUCUAAAUCCAAUAAAAAUAGUAUCUCAUACUAUUUUUAUUUAUUUUUACUUUUACAUUUAAAAUCUGGUAUGCUACAUUUCACCGCAACCUCACCGGAACCAUUUAAAUGUACACCGUAACUUCAUAGUUUUAGAAGUCUGGUACCUUACAGGAUGCAUCACUAUAGACCACAAAGUCCUCGCCCUGCACCGGUAAGGCGAGUAUCGGAGCCGACGUCAAUCUUUUCUUCAACUCGUUGAAGCUUUGGUCACACUCGUCGCUCCAAAUAAACUUGACGCCCUUCUGUGUCAGAUUGGUAAGUGGAGUCACAAUCUUUGAAAAGUCCUCCACAAACCGUCGAUAAUAGCCCGCUAAGCCCACAAAGCUUCGAACCUCCGUGACGUUCGUCGGGCGUGGCCAAUUCUCGACCGCUUCGACUUUCCUCGGGUCAACCGAAACACCGCCCUCGGAAAUCACAUGCCCUAAGAAGGCAACCUCUCGAAGCCAGGCAACCUCUCGAAGCCAGAAGUCACAUUUCUUUAGCUUUGUGAAUAGCUUCUCGUCCCGAAGGAUUUGAAGCACUAUCCGCAAAUGCUCCGCGUGCUCCUCGUCGUUCCGCGAAUAGACCAAGAUGUCGUCUAUGAAGACCAUGACAAAUUGGUCCAAGCACGCUUUGAACACACGGUUAAUUAAAUCCAUGAACACCGCCGAGGCAUUAGUGAGCCCAAAAGGCAUAACCGUGUACUCAUAGUGUCCAUAACGCGUACGAAACGCGGUCUUCUGAAUAUCCUCCGACUUGAUCUUUAACUGAUGAUAGCCGGAUUGUAGGUCUAUCUUCGAGUACACUUGUGACCCUUGCAAUUGGUCAAAUAAGUCAUCAAUUCGCGGCAACGGGUACUUAUUCUUUAUCGUGACCCUAUUCAACUCUCGAUAGUCCACGCAGAGUCAAAACGAGCCAUCCUUCUUGCGCACAAACAACACCGGGGCUCCCCACGACGAUACGCUCGGCCUGAUGAACUCCUUGUCGAGAAUAUCCUGCAACUGAUCCCUCAAUUCCCUUAGCUCUGCUGGCACCAUACGGUAUGGGGCCCUUGAGAUCGGCGCCGUCCCGGGAAUCAAGUCUAUAACGAACUCGAUCUCCCGAUCCGGCGGCAUCCCCAGUAACUCCGUGGGAAAUACAUCUGGGAACUCCCGCACCACAGAUAACUCUUCUAAAUUCGGAGUCACUCAGUUCACUUCCAUGACGGUCGCCAAAAAUGCUACGCAGCCGCUGUUGACCAACUUUCUAGCUCUCGUCGCCGAUAUCGUCGCGACGAAGCAAGAGCUCCGACAAGCUCGAUAAACGAACUCCUUCUGUCCUGACUCCCGAAAGGUGAUCGAUUUAUUCUUACAAUCGAUCAUGGCGUAAUACUUCGAGAGCCAGUCCAUGCCGAAAAUGACAUCAUGCGCCUCCAAUCUCGUGAGUUCCAACAUCCGGAUAGGCAUUAUCCAGUCACCUACUUGUACUGGGCAUGACGAACACUCCGUGUAGGUAUUAAACGACGACUCAGGACCCACGACUCGCCAUUUGCCACUUGCUUCUAUGGGUAUGUCAUGCAUGCGUGCAAAUGCUCUACUAAUAAAGGAAUGCGUGGCACCCGUGUCGAACAUAGCCCUGGAGCGAACUCCAUUGAUUAGAACCAUACCUGCCACAACAUCAGGCUCCUCGGCUUGGGCAGGCUCCUCGGCAUGGGCCUGAGCGGCGAAUACUCGUCCGCUCGGCGCUGAUCGUGUAAGGUUUCGGACUUCUAAAAUUAUGAAGCUACGGUGUAAAUUUGGUUGGAGAGCCAUUUGAAGGGUUCCAGUGAAGUUCGGUGAAGUUUGGAAGCAUCCGGGCGAUUCGGUGCGCGUAGGCGCGAAAACGGGACCCGAAAGGCUAUGUCGGACCAUGAACUAAAUCCGACAUUAGCGGGGAUGAAAAGAUGAUGAAAACAUGCUCGAAAACAUGUUUGGAGAGUCUCGAUUCGAUUUGAAAAGAAUCGAAGGUCAAACGAGCAAAAACGAGCGAAAACGGACCCCGAAAAUGAAAAAGACUGAAAUUUGACUAAGUCCUAAAAAUGCUGAAAUUCUGGUCCUUCGGGGACCGGUCUCUCACUGCCUGGGACCGGUCCCAGAGCGCGAAAAACACCCAGUUUGGGCUGUUGCAAGGUUGGAGAAGUAGAGGGGCAGGUAUUGUUUUACUUUAUGGCACUAGAUCUCGUGCAUUAUUUGACACAGGUGCAUCGCAUUCAUUCAUCAGUAGCUCAUUUGCUAAGACGCAUGAUAUUGAGAUUUCGGAUAGUGCGGAUGCCUGGUGGGUGUAUGCCCCUGAGCACACAUUUAGUGUCCACGAAGUGUGUGCGGCAUGUCCAGUACAGAUUGGUGAUUGGAUUAUGCCAGCAGAUCUGUUAGUGUUAAGCCAUAUGAAAGGCUUUGAUGUGAUCCUUGGGAUGGACUGGCUUACAAAGUACUAUGCCACGAUUGAUUGUGAAAGUAAAGUAAUUACUUUUCGUGAACCCGGACAAAAAGAAGUUGUAUACCGGGCGUGCAAGAGUUCGCUCUUCGCACUGACUGUAUCGUCGACGAGGGCAAGAAAGUUGAUUAGUAGUGGAUGUGCGGCUUAUUUGGCGACUGUAGUGGAGACUCAAAAGGAACUUCCAGCACUGAGUGAUAUUCCAGUGGUUCGAGAGUUUCCUGAUGUAUUUCCUGCGGAGUUACCGGGAUUGCCGCCGGAUCGGGAAAUUGAGUUCGUUAUUGACUUGGUUCCCGGAACGGCGCCAAUUUCGAAGGCUCCGUACAGAAUGGCACCUGCUGAGUUGAGAGAGUUGAAAGCUCAGUUGCAGGACUUGAUGGAUAAAGGCUUUGUGAAGCCUAGUGUAUCACCGUGGGGAGCCCCAGUUCUGUUUGUAAAGAAGAAAGACGGAACGCUUCGACUGUGUGUUGAUUAUCGUGAACUGAACAAGAUCACAAUCAAGAAUAAAUAUCCAUUGCCGCGAAUCGAUGAUUUAUUUGAUCAGUUGCAAGGUUCACGAGUGUAUUCGAAGAUUGAUCUUCAAUCGGGUUACCACCAACUGAAGAUCAAACCAGAAGAUGUGCACAAGACAGCGUUCCGCACUCGUUAUGGUCAUUACGAGUUUACAGUGAUGCCGUUUGGGCUGACCAAUGCCCCUGCAGCAUUUAUGGAUCUAAUGAACAGGAUCUUUAAGCCGCUGUUGGAUCAGUGUGUGGUGGUAUUUAUAGAUGAUAUCCUGAUCUUUUCUCGAAGUAAC
rnacentral:lncRNA from 1 species